ensembl:miRNA eca-mir-8993-2 eca-mir-8993-2
GGGUCUCCCACAAAGAGGUCGCUUCCUGCAGGGUCAAGGACAAGGUCAGGGAGGCCAUGCUCCCUUCCACAUGUGUCCCAGGCCCUUGAUCUUGGACCCUGGACAUCUGGUGUGU